rnacentral:rRNA from 1 species
UGGUGGAGUGAUUUGUCUGGUUAAUUCCGUUAACGAACGAGACCUCAGCCUGAUUAGUUAGUAAAUGUCAUCCUUACGGAUGGGAAUUUGCUUCCUAGAGGGACUAUCGGUUUCUAACCGGUGGAAGUAUGAGGCAAUAACA